rnacentral:snRNA from 1 species
AUAGUUACCCAGCAGGGGAGAUACCAUGAUCACUAAGGUGGCUUUCCCAGGAUGAGACCGAUCCACUAUACUCAGAAUCUGCUGAUCCUUGUGGGUUUCCCCACACACGAGAUACUUGACAGCAUAACUUGUGUUGAUGGGGGGUUGUGUGCACACUUGCCCUGA